CAAAUUGAUCUGCUGCGGCUCUACCUUUCACAAAAUGUUUCCAAAAAAUCGUACGACCUUUGUUCCGGUCUCGUUGAAAAGAGGAAAUCCUGCGCAAUCGAGUCGCGGUGUUUUCGAUUGCCAAAACAAUUUGUCGAGCUCUCCGAAAUUUUUCAAAAAACCUCCAAUUUCAGGGAAUCUGCUCGAGAAAGAUAUCGGUCUCUGUAGCCCAACGUGUCCAACAAGCUUACAAAAUAGAGACUCGGCUGUUUGAAGCAUCGUUCCCGAACCGUUCGACUCUUUUCUGAAAUCACCCUGUACACUUCCAGAAGUAUGAUAGCGGCGGAAGAUGCUCCCGAACACAGCCGAGGCGUAUUGCACCCUCACGGAGGGACGAUGAUCACACGUACGAGCGUAUAUGAGACAUACGCGAGAAGGAUGCGAGGUCGGCUCGGAAUUAGACCAUGUUCGAGUGGAGGUAAGGUACAUGGAAGCCGAGGAGAAUCUAGCGGAACGAACUUCCCCGAGUUACGCCGGAGACCUCCCUUCCACCUCUUGAGUUUCGACUUUUAAGGAAUCUUAAGAGAUUUCUUCCGAUCCCUGAUCAACCGGCGUUCCCGACGCCAACCUGAAAAAAAAACCAGAGUGCGUAAAGCGGUCUCUUGUCAUUCAUGUUUUCGUAAUUACCAGACUACGGACCAUUAUGCAAAAUAAAAAUUGUCUACCCAAAUUGCAA